CCCUUAAUGACACCGCACUCACGCGCCAGUCCCAAGUCUGGAUAAAGUCAGAGGGUAAA
rnacentral:ribozyme from 2 species